AUGUAAGCUAGACUGGCAGUUUAGGCCUCUGUUGUAACUCUAAACGGUCUAUAGGGGAGUCGAAGCCUAUAGAGAGGUAUAAUUAUUUCAAGGAGUCUUGUUCACUACUAUGAAACUCUGUCUUAAUUGACUAUUAAUUAUACAAAACGUGUGAGGACAGGAAUGCAGCAACACUAAGUAUAAUUACUGGUGCUUUUAAGGUAGCGGAGUUAAGAAAGGUUCAAGAUAAAACUCACUGGAGUAUUUGUAUCCAUCUUUAGGCGCGCUUACUU
rnacentral:SRP_RNA from 1 species